rnacentral:rRNA from 1 species
AUGGAUGAGCCUAUGUCCAGGCUCACCCACGACCUAAUCGCGGAGAUCCUCUGUCGGGUGCCCUACAAAUCUCUCUGCAUCUGCAAGUGCGUCUGCCCGGCCUGGCGCGGCAUCAUCGCCGACCCCGCCAAUCGGAAGAAGAUGGCGCAGACCCUGGCCGGCUUCUUCUACCGCAUCAACAACGAGGCCACGGCCGAGCCCCGCGGCUUCGACGGCAUCAAGUACGCGGAUAUGUCUGCUUUCCCUUGGUCCAGCGUCCCUGAGACCCACCCGCGUCUACCACUACCGCCCGAUAGCACGGACUGCUUCUGCUCCCUCGAGGAUUCCUGCGACGGACUGUUUCUUGCAAGCAUUCGCACGGACACCGCUGCUGGAAUUUCUCGGUACAUGGUCUCCAAUCCAGCUACCAGUGAGUAUAUCGUGCUGCCUCACUCUGGCUACUCUGGCAACCUCAGCAGCGCUUACCUGGGUUUCGACAGCGCUGUAUCCACUCAAGAGUUCCAUGUCUUCGAGCUUGUGACAGACAUUUUACCCCCGGACAGCCAGGGCAUACACCCCCUGGUUGUGACGGGAGUGAGGAUCUACUCUUCAAAAACCUGUGCAUGGGUGGCAAUGGAGCCCAAAUGGGACAUCCAAGUCACCUUAUGCUUUGGUCAGCGUGGGGUUUUCCAUAAGGGAUUUCUGCACCUGCUCAUAGAUGAGUCCGGACUGGCGAUGGUUGAUGCACAAGGGGUGAAAUGGAGAACCCUCCUGCUGCCGAUACUCGCCGUCAAGGGUUUCUCAGGUUUCAUCGGGAAGUCUGCCGGCCGGCUACUUUAUAUCGAUUCCUGCGAUCGUGAAGGGUUCAUCUCACGCAGAGCUUUGACUCUAUCGGCCUACGUUCUUGGUUCUGAGGUCUAUGACUGGGAUGCGAGUCGUCAGCAGAAUGACGAAUGCAUGUACUGGAAACUGUACAGGUUUCCAGAUGCGGUUCCGGUUCUGUCACCAUGGAUCGUCGGAUUUGAUGCUAGCAACUUCCAGAGAUCAGAUGGGUGUGCAUCUGCAGACCACAUUGGUUAG